AGUGAACGCUGGCGGCGUGCUUAACACAUGCAAGUCGAACGGAUGAAAUAAGCUUGCUUAUUUCGUUAGUGGCGCACGGGUGAGUAAUGUAUAGCUAACCUGCCCUUUAGUGGGGGACAACAGUUGGAAACGACUGCUAAUACCCCAUACUCCUUCUGAUCUUAAGAUAAGUUGGUAAAGAUUUAUUGCUAAAGGAUGGGGCUCUAUGGUAUCAGCUAGUUGGUGGGGUAACGGCCUACCAAGGCGAUGACGCCUACAUGGUCUGAGAGGAUGAUCAGGGACACUGGAACUGAGACACGGUCCAGACUCCUACGGGAGGCAGCAGUGGGGAAUAUUGCACAAUGGAGGAAACUCUGAUGCAGCAACGCCGCGUGGAGGAUGACGCAUUUCGGUGUGUAAACUCCUUUUAUAAGGGAAGAUAAUGACGGUACCUUAUGAAUAAGCACCGGCUAACUCCGUGCCAGCAGCCGCAGUAA
rnacentral:rRNA from 1 species